rnacentral:rRNA from 1 species
CCUACGGGUGGCAGCAGUGAGGAAUAUUGGUCAAUGGGCGGGAGCCUGAACCAGCCAAGCCGCGUGAGGGAAGAAGGUACAGCGUAUCGUAAACCUCUUUUGUCAGGGAACAAAGGCGGGGACUAGUCCACGGAUGAGGGUACCCGAAGAAAAAGCAUCGGCUAACUCCGUGCCAGCAGCCGCGGUAAUACGGAGGAUGCGAGCGUUAUCCGGAUUUAUUGGGUUUAAAGGGUGCGCAGGCGGAAGAUCAAGUCAGCGGUACAAUUGAGAGGCUCAACCUCUUCGAGCCGUUGGAACUGGUUUUCUUGAGUGAGUGAGAAGUAUGCGGAAUGGGUGGGGUAGCGGUGAAAUGCAUAGAUAUCACGCAGAACUCCGAUUGCGAAGGCAGCAUACCGGCGCUCAACUGACGCUCAUGCACGAAAGUGUGGGUAUCGAACAGGAUUAGAUACCCUGUAGUC